rnacentral:rRNA from 1 species
CAGCAGCCGCGGUAAUACGAAGGGGGCUAGCGUUGUUCGGAAUUACUGGGCGUAAAGCGCACGUAGGCGGAUCGAUCAGUCAGGGGUGAAAUCCCAGGGCUCAACCCUGGAACUGCCUUUGAUACUGUCGAUCUGGAGUAUGGAAGAGGUGAGUGGAAUUCCGAGUGUAGAGGUGAAAUUCGUAGAUAUUCGGAGGAACACCAGUGGCGAAGGCGGCUCACUGGUCCAUUACUGACGCUGAGGUGCGAAAGCGUGGGGAGCAAACAGGAUUAGAUACCCCUGUAGUCCCUGUCUCUUAUAC